GGCUAGCAGUGGAAUCCAAGACGCACGUUUCGUCCUAAUUGGGACUCUUCAACUGGAUGUACCAGCAUCUCAGAGUUGAUGUUCACUCUGGGGCUCGAACCCAGCAACUUUUGCUCCAAACGCCAUCGCGUUAUCCACUCGGCCACUGAGUCCUGAUAGCCACUUGCUUGUGCCAAAUAGGACGAAACGCGCGUCCUGGAU
rnacentral:hammerhead_ribozyme from 1 species